GGGACCCAGCCUCUCCCCUACCUGAACACCAGCCCCAACUCCACCGAGGCCCCUAUCCCCCAACCCCAUCUCGCCACCACCACCACGGCAGACCCUAAAGAUGCCGAUCUUCCUGACAUUGCCAGGAACGAGCCAGAUGUUUAUGAAACCAGUGACCUGCCUGAAGGUGAUCAAGCCGAGUUUGAUGCAGAGCUGGAGAAGCUGAGGAGCACAAGUGUGGAGCACAUCAUUGUCAAUCCCAAUGCUGCCUAUGACAAGUUCAAAGACAAGAGAGUGGGGACAAAGGGACUUGAUUUCUCAAAUCAUACUGGAAAAACCAAGAGAACAGGAUAUGAAUCUGGAGAAUAUGAGAUGUCUGGGGAGGGCUUGGGAGUGAAGGAGAAACCCCAGCAAAAGUACCAGCAACUAUUGCAUGAGGUCCAAGAGCUGACAACUGAAGUUGAGAAAAUCAAGACAAUGCUGAAGGAGUCUGCCACUGAAGAGAAAUUGACCGCAGUGGUGUUGGCUGAACUACUGGCUACCCUGAAGCAGCAGCUGGUUGCUUCCCACCUGGAGAAGCUGCUGGGACCAGAUGCAGCCAUCAACUUUACUGACCCUGAUGGAGCUCUGGCUAAGUGCUUGCUGCUGCAGCUGGAAGCCAUCAAAAACAGCAAAGGAACCAGUUCAGGGGGAAAGACCACCGGCGGGACUCCUGUAGAUAGUAGCCUUGUCACUUAUGGACUACAUUCUCGGCCUGAACAGGACAAGUUCUCUCAAGCUGCUGAAGUUGCUGAACUUGAGAAGUGCCUGACAGAGCUGGAAGCAAUCAUACGCUGUGAUCAGGAUGCUCAGAAUCCCCUUUCAGCAGGUGUGCAGGGAGCCUGUCUCAUGGAGACUAUAGAACUAUUGCAAGCAAAGGUGAAUGCCCUGGACCUUGCAGUUUUGGACCAAGUGGAGGCUCGGCUACAGAGUGUCCUGGGAAAGAUGAAUGAGAUUGCCAAGCAUGAAGCUUCUGUAGAAGAUGCAGAUACACAAAGCCAGGUGCACCAGCUAUACGGCACUGUACAGGGCUGGAGCCCCAUUUCCUCCACCCUUCCUGAGCUGGUGCAGAGACUUGUCACCAUCAAGCAGCUGUAUGAGCAAGCCAUGCAGUUCGGUCACCUCCUGACUCACUUGGAUACCACACAGCAGAUGAUUGCUAGCUCCCUCAAGGACACCACCACCCUCCUGACCCAGGUGCAGGCAACCAUGCAUGAGAACCUGUCCACGGUUGAAGGGAAUUUUGCCAACAUUGAUGAAUGGAUGAAGAAGCUGGGUAAGUGAGCACCUUUAGGAGAUGGAGAAUGAGGGUAAUCCCUACCCCUCUGAACUCUGUUAACAGCUUACAUAGGUUUUCCCCUUAAUUAUAACUCUCGCAUCCCCAUACCAUUUGACAUUGGGGGCAAAGGGGUUCUUCUUGCAUGUGGGGUUUACACCCCUCCUCUGAGGAAUACAGAGUGGUAGCUGGGGGACAUUAGAUGGUAGUCUCCCCUCAAGCCCCAGGGAUGUGGGCCCUGCCACAUGCCAGUUCCUGUCCAGUACUGCUUUGCCUGAGGCAAGGCAUGAUUGGGUCCUGUCCUCCAGCACAGUUCCCAUGGCUGGCUACAAUUCUGUACAACUCUU